CGGGUGAGUAAUGUCUGGGAAACUGCCUGAUGGAGGGGGAUAACUACUGGAAACGGUAGCUAAUACCGCAUAAUGUCUACGGACCAAAGCGGGGGACCUCCGGGCCUCGCGCCAUCAGAUGAACCCAUAUGGGAUUAGCUAGUAGGUGAGGUAACGGCUUACCUAGGCGACGAUCCCUAGCUGGUCUGAGAGGAUGAUCAGCCACACUGGGACUGAGACACGGCCCAG
rnacentral:rRNA from 1 species